rnacentral:rRNA from 1 species
AACGAACGCUGGCGGCAGGCCUAACACAUGCAAGUCGAACGGACCCUUCGGGUCUAGUGGCAGACGGGUGAGUAACGCGUGGGAACCUACCUUUAGGUACGGAACAACACAGAGAAAUUUGUGCUAAUACCGUAUGUGCCCUUUGGGGAAAGAUUUAUCGCCUAAGGAUGGGCCCGCGUUAGAUUAGCUAGUUGGUAAGGUAAUGGCUUACCAAGGCGACGAUCUAUAGCUGGUCUGAGAGGAUGAUCAGCCACACUGGGACUGAGACACGGCCCAGACUCCUACGGGAGGCAGCAGUGGGGAAUCUUGGACAAUGGGCGCAAGCCUGAUCCAGCCAUGCCGCGUGAGUGAUGAAGGCCUUAGGGUCGUAAAGCUCUUUCGCCAGAGAUGAUAAUGACAGUAUCU